GUGCUGGCGGCGCCUCCCUUGCUGCCUGCUCUCAGGCGUCUGUGGGCCUGGCCCCUCGGGCUGGCCAGAGGGCUCUGGCAGGCCACAUCUGCCUCAAAAGCAGUCCUCGCCUAAGCCUCGAGCACGGCCCCACAGGCCCGGGCAGCCACCGAGGACCUUGGCGCGGAUUCCCCUCAGGGGUCCUCAGGACUGCCCCUGUGGUGGUUAAACAGCCUCAGCCUGUGUGCUGCGCUGUCGGUCCCGUUCCUGGGACAGAGCUGGGGAUGCCAAGCACAGGCCGUGCUGUGUGCGCACCUCACCGCUGCGCAGUGUGUUCCAAAGUAAAGCGUGGAGAUCUCUGUGUGGUGGUGGCAGCUUGGUUCCUCGUGGGGCAUUCUCAAGGCAACUCGGAAUGCUGCGUUGCGAAAAAAAUGAAAGGAUUUGAAAAGCAGCCAUACUAGCAAAAGGAAGAAGAAGAGGAAAUGGCAACUGGGAGAAACAGAAAAACUAGGAAGAACAUAGAAAGUGUACACCUAAAGAGUAAGCUGAUUUGCUUAAGGGCAUCUAGGAAGAUCAUUACUUUGUUUAAUUGCUUGGAUGUGAGACUUCAGAAGGGAAAAUGGGAAAGCUGUCUUCUCAUCUUAAAAAGGGCACUGAAUGUACUUAUUUACUGUAAGCUGUGAUUCAAAAAAUCUGGGAAGUUUGCGACCUGAAGACUGUGGUCAAAUCCUAAUUACAUACAGUGACCAAAGCCAGGGUUGUGUCUGCCAGUGCCUCUCUGCUGUGUUCAAACUGCUUCAUGCAGUUUUGAGUAAGCUUGAAAUUCACUGUUGUCUGUU